CUCCCUCUCCCCAACAGAGCAAGUGCGAAGUGCGAAUGCGUCAACUGUACCCCGGCCUGCCUCUUCCCGUCCUGCGAACGCGUCUGGACCACACGCCCACGCCCACCAGAGUUAUCGUGGCCGCCCACUGCAAGCACAAAUUCUAAGCUUUAUUGGGAGUGAAAGAAUAAACGCACGUGUGGGAGGAAAAUAAAGGAGGUAGAGUGAUGUAAAAUGAUGGACGGAUUCUAAAUAACUGCUAUUUCCAUCUGUAAAGAAAAUGGAUUUAAAAAUAUAUAUAAUCACGUCAAUCCUUUUUUCAUCAUCUUUUUCCCGAGAUUUUAUCUAAGAUGGAAAAUGCAAUUAGAGAGAAAAAAAAUCUUAUCAGUUUUAUCUCUCCUUUGAUUAUUCUGGAAGCAACGACCUGGAGAUUUUAAGCUUCAUAUAAACUUUGUGUUGUUGCAGUAAAUUUUAUUUUAUGUUGCAUGGUAUGUUAGUCUGCAAUGAGCACACAGAUCUGUCAGUCAAAAUGUGAUUAAAUCUUAAAGGAAGUAAA